CUCAAGUAGUAUUUUAUUGGGUAACUUUCACUCGAGUCAUUUUCUAUUAAGGUAUCCUUACUUUUUACUCAAGUAUGACAAUUGGGUACUUUUUACUCCGUUGGUGACAAGACAUUACUGAGCAGGGAGACAAGACAUUUUCAGUUUUUUUUUAUAUAUAUAUAUCAAGACAUAAAGCAACCAAGAUGACAAACAUGUAAAAACAUUUUUGUUACAGAUAAUUAUAUAAAAAAGAGAUUAUUUUUUUAUUUUAUUUUAUUUUUUUAAACUUUACUUGCUACUUGAAGGAAGGAACUAAUUUACAACUGAGCUCAAACCCUGUUUGCUGCUGCACCAUUCAAUCAUUCUUCAUAAUGAAACAUUUCCCACCUCUCGGUAAAUAAAAUGCUCCGUUUCAAAAAUACAUGCCAACUACAUGGAAAACAUUUGUCACAUUACACACACACUUGCAUACCUAAACAUAUGUAAAGCAAAUAAUAAUAAUAAUAAUAAUAACAACAAUACACCAAAAGCAAUGUGAAUGGUUAUUAAUAUCAACAGUUUGUCCGCAUUUUGGGGAGGGGGGAUGGGAGGGGGGGCAGAAAAUAUCCCAGGCUAUUCUCAGAACUCUAAAAAAACAAGGUUUGGAACAAAAAGAACCUUCUAAAUUCCAUUAGAUGUCAACAAAUGCAUUCCAUGGACCAUCGACAGGUUGAGACGACGAGGAGGACAGGUGAAAAGUAAGCUUUUCCUCUCUGCAAAUCAAUUCCUUUAAUUACAUUUUUUUUAUUUUUUUUUUACUGAAAGUAUAAACAAAACAAAAAAAACAUCCACUCGCCUCUUUUCUUUCAGUCAAAACUUUCGUUUCGGAUUCUUUCAUCUUCCGCAGCAGAGCAAAGUAACAAAAAGUCCUUCUUUAACAGUUCAUUAGACCACCAAUUCUGAAAUAAGUGUCAAAUUACCUGUAAAAAAAAAAAAAAAAAAAAAAUUGUACUUUUUCACCCUGGUUGGCAGUCAGCCAGUGUCCACACACCUUCCAACGAAAGGAAACAGACUAGAGAAUUAAAGUAGUCUCCUAAACCUACACCAAAAACACAUCCUUUUCUUUACUUGAGUGGAAACUCUCGUUCCUUUUUUACUCCCUGUGAACACAGUGAUGUCACAAAGCAAGACGAAAGCCAGGACAAAUAUGAAGUCUUAAAUCGGUUGAUGAUGAUGAUGAUGACGACGACGACUCCCCUUGAAUCGAGAAAACACUCUUGUCCUCCCCCCAAGUGCUGUCUGUUUUCCCAUCGGUGUGUUUUUGUCCCCAUGACAACGUGAUGAUGCUGUGUUCUUCUGUUUCAACCGUCUUCCAUAGCAACCAUCUGAUCCUUCUACAUGUGACCAAUCAACCGAAGCGCAAAUGACAUCGGACAUACACAGCUAUUUGGUGCUGUGUAAUUACUUGUGUUGAUAAAUCGGGAUGGAGAAAAGCAUGGGACAGAGACGAAAAGAACUAGCUAGCAACUACAGUUAAAACUCCACAGUGUUUUUAUUUUAUUUUUUGUUGUUGUUGAUUUCACCGAAAAUCAUUUUUAAAAAUAAAAAAAAAAAAGCCAAGAAAAAUGUAAUUGUGUGCUUACAACCGUUUUAAACAGAAGAUCUCAGUAAUAAACCAAUAAAGAACACGAGGUUGGAACAAGGUGUCCGUGGCACCACAACCUCGAGUGAUGAGGGCUCUGGGAUUAUUUUCAUCUGGGUUUUUCUUGCAGCCAUUUUGUGAAUGAUGGGGGCGGGGGUCCAGGUUUGGGGGACACCAGUCUGGGUCCAGGUUUGGGGGACACCAGUCUGGGUCCAGGUUUGGGGGGGGGGACCAGUCUGGGUCCAGGUUUGUGGGCCGGUCUGGGUCCAGGUUGUGGGCCGGUCUGGGUCCAGGUUUGUGGGCCGGUCUGGGUCCAGGUUUGUGGGCCGGUCUGGGUCCAGGUUCGUGGGCCGGUCUGGGUCCAGGUUCGUGGGCCGGUCUGGGUCCAGGUUCGUGGGCCGGUCUGGGUCCAGGUUCGUGGGCCGGUCUGGGUCCAGGUUCGUGGGCCGGUCUGGGUCCAGGUUUGUGGGGCUGAGGUUGAGGCAAGGAUAUUGUAGAUAGUUGGUGAGGGCUGGUUGAGGGGUGUUGUAUUCAGUUCAGUAAUAGUCAUCAUGGACAACAAGGGGAGAAGGAAACUCCCUUUACUGGUCUGAUCUGGCCUUCUUUGGACCGGCAGCUUUCCUAAAGGAGAGAAACAACACGAUUCAACAGAUGAACAUAGACAGGGGGCUGGUGAAAGAGUCAGGAGAGAGCGUUAGGAGUGGAGCUGAGAGUCAAGACCAGAAUAAAAGUUGAGAGUUUAAGGUUCACCCGUGUUGAAUGUUCCAAUUUUUUUUUUUUUUUUUUUGUGCAUCUCUGAAGUGAUGUUGUAUCGAGUCAUGGAGAACAGAGAACAUCCCUGGUCAUCCCUACUGCCUCUGAUCUGGAGGACUCACUAAACAGAGAACAUCCUGUCAUGUUUAUCUAAGAUCUUGAUCAGAAACUCUGGCAGAGAUACAGUUGGUAUGAGGCAAAACGCAUUGUACCGGCUUGAUGUUUUUGUUUGAUAUCUUGAAAAGUUAAUUGCUGACAUGCAAAGCGUUUCGGACUGUAUCAACAGCGGACUAAUUAAACAAAUACCAAAAUAUCGUAGUGGAGCGUAAAGUUAAGAAUUAUGACAGAGGGGUCACAACUGACUACUCAAGUACUUCGUUCAAAUAAAUUCAAAGCAUUUUUUAUUUUUAGGAAUGUAUAGUUAAAUAACCUAUUAUUUCAUGUGGAUAUAUGAGAGAGAGAGAGAGAGAGACCGAGAGAGAGACAGAGACCGAGACAGAGACCGAGAGAGAGACAGAGAGAGAGAGAGAGACAGAGAGAGAGAAAGAGAAACAGAGAGAGAGACAGAGAA
ensembl:lncRNA